GUCUACGGCCAUGCCACCCUGAACAAGCCCGAUCCCGUCUGAUCUCGGAAGCUAAGCAGAGUCGGGCCUGGUUAGUACGUGGAUUAGAGACCACCUAGGAAGACCAGGUGCUGUAGGCA
rnacentral:rRNA from 1 species